GAUGAACGCUGGCGGCGUGCCUAAUACAUGCAAGUCGAACGAGUGGCGAACGGGUGAGUAACACGUGGGAAACCUACCCUUUAGCGGGGGAUAACCAUCGGAAACGAUGACUAAUACCGCAUACUGAAGGAUGGUCCCGCGGUGCAUUAGCUAGAAGUGGUGGUAACGGCAUACCGUGGCUUUGAUGCAUAGCCGACCGGUGAGGGUGGUCGGCCCCAUAGGGACGGAGAUACGGCCCGACCUCCACCGGUAGGCGGCAGUAGGGUUUCUUCCGCAAGUGACGCAAGUCUAGCGUAGCAACGCCACGUAGGUUAAGAGGUUCUUCGGAUCUUAGAGCUCUGUUUUCAGUGAAGCGGUAACUGAUCAGAAAGCCACGGCUAACUCCGUGCCAGCAGCCGCGGUAAUAC
rnacentral:rRNA from 1 species